rfam:Medicago truncatula strain A17 chromosome 2, whole genome shotgun sequence.
UUAUAAGCAAAAAAACACUUUUUAGUUUCAUUGAAUAACCGAUGUAUGCAGUCAGUAUUAUAGACUGGAUACAUCAAUUAUUCAAUGAAUCUAAAAAGUGAUUUCUUGCUUAUAA